rnacentral:rRNA from 1 species
GACAGAGGUGCCAAGCGUUAGGCGGAAUCACUGGGCUUAAAGCGUGUGUAGGCGGAUUUGUAAGUACCUUGUGAAAUCCCACGGCUCAACCGUGGAACUGCUCGGUAUACUGCUUAUCUUGAGCACUUAGGGGCUACCGGAACAAAUGGUGGAGCGGUGAAAUGCGUAGAUAUCAUUUGGAACGCCAAUGGUGAAAACAGGUAGCUGGGAGUGUGCUGACGCUGAGACACGAAAGCCAGGGGAGCGAACGGG